rnacentral:rRNA from 1 species
GACGAACGCUGGCGGCGUGCUUAACACAUGCAAGUCGAACGGAAAGGCCCUGCUUUUGUGGGGUGCUCGAGUGGCGAACGGGUGAGUAACACGUGAGUAACCUGCCCUUGACUUUGGGAUAACUUCAGGAAACUGGGGCUAAUACCGGAUAGGAGCUCCUGCUGCAUGGUGGGGGUUGGAAAGUUUCGGCGGUUGGGGAUGGACUCGCGGCUUAUCAGCUUGUUGGUGGGGUAGUGGCUUACCAAGGCUUUGACGGGUAGCCGGCCUGAGAGGGUGACCGGCCACAUUGGGACUGAGAUACGGCCCAGACUCCUACGGGAGGCAGCAGUGGGGAAUAUGGCACAAUGGGCGGAAGCCUGAGGCAGCAACGCCGCGUGCGGGAUGACGGCCUUCGGGUUGUAAACCGCUUUCGCCUGCGACGAAGCGUGAGUGACGGUAAUGGGUAAAGAAGCACCGGCUAACUACGUG